rnacentral:lncRNA from 7 species
UCCUCCCUCUAGAGUCUAGCCACAACCGAAAACCCGGAAGCCAAGGUCUCCCUCAUCUCUCUCCCAACAUCGACGUUGUCCGCUGCGUUCUCACGUCUCCCUGUUUCCUUAUGCACGUGCGUCUUGGUACACGUUUUCCUUCUCCCUUGCGCGCGCCGAUUGCCUCCACCGCUGGUCGUGCGCCGCUGUCAACCUUCCUCACCGGUCGCGGCAACGCUCGUCCUCAAGCUUGGCCGUGUCGGUCGUCCCUGACCCCACCUUGGCGCAGUGCCGCUGGGAGCGCGGUCUGGGCAAGCCUUCGGGUUGCGUCAAGGGAUGCUGCGGCUCGAGCAAGCGACGUUGGGGAACCCUUGGAGCCGUUGUGAGUAGCUCGCCGGGGUGCGCGGAUUUCGUCGCCGGAAGGGAGAAUCCGCCGCUGGGUUGUGGUUCACGCGGACACCGUACCCCCACGUCCUUAAUCUGGAUCUGGGAGCAUCUGGGAUGUUUCGCAGUGUUUUUCCCUUCGUGUGGGACCUUGCCGUGCUUCAAUCUGGUAGCCGGAACACCGUGGUGCCUACUCACAGGCGGGACGCCGCCUUUGUCUGCUGGGCGCUGCCGCUCUGGUGGUCAAAUUGCAGGAGAGCGCCAGGUCCGUUGGAUCUUGUGCUAGCGCGUCAGAUUGAAGUUGCGGAUACCUCGUCAUGCGGUUGAUCUGAACCAUUGAUAACCGAACCAACGGAACCGGUCCGUUCUGACGUGAUCAUAGCGUGGCUACCACUGGGUCGUUGAUCUCGGAGCGUGCGACCGCGGAUGCGUACUGGUUGAUUUAAAAUCAGGAUCUACUCUCGGCCACUGGUCUUGGAUCGGACGGAUCACAACUGAAGGUACCCCUUCGACGAGGUCUAUUCGCAUAAGUGUCCCUCAGGGUUUUCUUAUUUAACCUGCCACCUAUCCCUGUGUAAAAGAAUUACAAAUGAAUCCUAGAAACUUACAAAGCACACCCUGUGAUUUUAUAAAAUAGUGUCCCCAGUCCCCAGUUCAUUGAAUUAAC